UUGGAAAGUCUGAUGCUAAUUUACCAUAAAAUACUCAAAAAGCUGAAUUUUCAGUUUCGCUAGAGUAAUUUAGGAUGAGAAUUUUGGUAUUUAAAAUAAAUUAUUUGUCAUAUAAUGUAAAUAGUUAAUAAAUUAUAUCAAUAAAUAUGAUAGUGAAAUUGUGAAUAAGCCUAUUGGUUAGCUUUUUUUAGUUAGCUUCAAAUUAAAACAAAAAUCAGCUUAU
rnacentral:RNase_P_RNA from 1 species